rnacentral:Y_RNA from 2 species
GACUUGUCCAGAAGUAGUAGAUUAUGUAAAUGGAUUGUGCAUAAGCAGUUGCAGGUUAGUCUCCUUGCUCUUGUUUUCCCCUCUUCUCACUACUGCACUAGACUAGUGUUUU